GAGUAAAAGAUACUACGACGAAUAAUUUAUAAAACAGUUACAAUUUUUUUAUAAACCAGCCAACUGCACCUGAAAUAACUAGUUACCCUUCCGAUUUACAAGUGUACAGUGAUUCUAAAGUACGACCAUUUAGUAUAGAGACGAAUGAAUUGGAAUUAUGGCCCUCAUGUUCAUCAGACAAUUCUAUUGAAGUUUUUGAAAACGUUAACGUUCCCAACGGUGAACUUAGUAAGUUUAAACAUAGCAAUUCGCAUGAGAAGGACUAUUUAUUUGAAAUAACGAAGUGGGCAGUGAGUAAUAAUAUCACUAGAAAUUCUACUUCAGAAUCAUUGCUAAUUUUAAAAACUCACAUGUGUUUUGAUUAUUUUCCGAAGGAUGUAAGGACAUUCUUGGAAACGCCAAAGUUACAAAUAGUUUUCCCGUUGGAAAAGGAGAAUUUUUAUAUUUUGGACCCUGGCCACCAUAGAUAGUUUGGAACAAAUCUUGAAAGAUCUUGCUCCCAGGCGAGAAUUGAAUAAUGUGCUUUUGGGAUGUGGAGGAGAUAACUUAUGUUCGGAUGAAUUACUUUCACGGCACAGUUACCAGGGACGAAGUGGGAAAAACUCAUUUUUAAGUUAUCCUCAACUUAAUCAGGCUAUAUUUGAAAGUCUAUCAACUGAAGCUUGUGCCAUGCCUGUUACAAGAAAAUUUGUUGAUGAAGCCUUCCCAAAAAUUUUGAAGAGAGCAGCUGAUAGAUAUAUCAAGAAAAUGAAAGCUGCGCCAAGCUUCACACCUUUCAACGCCGAAAAUACAACAGUUGGACGGAACAAUGAGACUUUGUUAAAAAUAACUAUUUCACUAUGAUACUUAAAUUUGUUGUCCUGGUGUUAC